GAAGGUCCCACGGCGUCAGGUGCACGGUCUCUGCGUCAGGCACCGACGACGGCCGGACCAUGCGGCGGGAGACCACGCGGACGCCGGCUGCAGGCAUAGUCAGCUUGGCACAACCUUCCAUCGCCAUACAAGACAAGCGCUUGUUUCAGACAAAUGAGAAGCAGCCCAGAGGACUUUGAUGGCCCGAACCCAGAGCUGAAGCCUGAAGGGGAAGGGGAAAAGGGUUUUAACAAAGUAAAACAGGCACGCAAGGUCACCACGGAUUUUGACGCACAAAAAAUAUCCAUCUCAUUUGAAGUGAAGAAGUGUUAAGCUAUUCAGCCACCGCACAAUAUCAGCUUGACUUCACAUCUAUAUUACUAACUUGAUUUAGGGUAGUACGUAUCUAGACCAGCAUGUGAAUGUGACUUCGAAUCUCAAACCGCCGACUUGAUUCAGCACUCUGUGCAGCGGAUGGAAGUUUCCAUUCCAGGAUUUAGAGACCUGGUUCACAAAUAAAAAUGUGGCCAGAUUCCAUCUCAUCUCAGAGGGUGAAAAAUUCCAGUGUCCUGUUGAUUAAAAAGUGCUCCUCCGAUUCAUAAUAAGUGUCUCAGAUUAUAAAUUAUAUCUGCAAGAGCUACUUUAAAAUUUGCUCUAAGAGUUGCAAGAUCUUGUGAACUAAGUGCAGCUACGGUAAAAUUAUCUCUUAGAGUUCCAAAAGUAGCAGGCAGGGAACUGAAAAGUCAAAAUAUAUAACUUUCUCUUUACAAUGGAGGAAGUACAUGAGAGAUCACAGAACCAGCAAAUGGUGAACUAGUCACUGUCUCACGGAGUAUGCAGAAGCAUGAAUCAACCAACGAGAUAGAUCAAGCAUCGAACCAGCGGGAUAAAUCAAGCACCAAACCAGCAAUUGGUGAACUAGUCACUGUCUCACUGAGUAUGACUAAGUAUGAAUGGGGCCUGUUUGGAUCACUGCCAACGCUGGCUUACCAAUAAAUUGACCAGCCCGUGAUUUUCGGCAACUGUUUGGAUCGAUGCCAAAUUUGGCUCGCCCUGGCCCGCUCGGGCGCGCCCCUUUGUAAUUUUCGCCAACGCGAGGGCGUGGAAAACGUCCGCCAAAAUUUUGGCGGCCAAAUCGCGCGUGAUUUCUCGCGUGGCAUAGAAGCUAAGCUAAGCAUCAAUUUCCUUUUCCAUUACUUUCUCUCCUAAACUCCAGUUCUGCACACAGCGAGGACAAGAGAGAAGGCCCUCAGAUCUGCAGCGUUCCCGGUCGGCCGGCGGAGUGAACAGGUGUGCUCCUGCGGCCGCCAACGGCGAUCUCCACCUUUCUUCCUCUCCUCUCCACGGAUUCAAGUUCCACCUUUCUUGAGCUCAAGAAUCCCGUCAGAUCCAUCCUUAUCCCCUUUACCUGUGGCGUGAUUUACUGGUUCUUGGCAUUUAGGUUUAUGAUCUUGUUAAUCUGCUGAAUGAACUAACUUUGUUCUUAUUAUAUUACAACUAGAUCGUUCAUUAGCCACCCAGUGGAUGUCAGUCCUAUCGGCAAGAUCUGAAGUAUCCAUACUAAACCGUUCUUCCCCUUUCGCUUUGUUUCUAGAUAAUAAUCAUAUGGACAAUCUAACGAGGGGACGUGCCCACCCGUGUCUUACCAUAUGGCGCCACUUUGAGAUUCGGGCGACCGAUCCGUCGGCUGCAGCGCAUGCGGGCCCGCGCCCUCUCUCUCUUUUUCUCCCUCCCCAUCCCAUCUCUAUUUGGAACGACGACGGCGGAGCGCUGCACGGGCCGGAGGGCGGGGCAGCGGAAGCGGAUCCCCGCGCGGCGGUGGCGGAGCCCCGCGGGACGGGCGCGGAGUAGCGGCGGCGGAUCCCUGCGCAGCGGUGGCAGAGCAGCUCGAGCAGCGGCGACUGAGCCCCAGGGGCCGUGUUUCAGGGUGGUGGUGGUGGUGUGUGGCCUGCCGCUGAUGGUGAGGAGCUCGUAGCUCCGGCGGUUCUUCGGCGAGCACGGGAGUGUCGGACGCGGAGGUGGUCUGGUAUAGGAAGAGCAAGGCCUCGCAGGGGAUGGCUUCGUCACCAUGACCAUGCGGCGCUGAAGAUGCCGUGGAUGCUCUGAUGGGAUGAUUUUGGACGGGUUCAGAGCUUCAGGCUGCAGGUUCGCUCGGUGAAACUCAAAGAUGGGCAGCGGUAGCAGCUAAUGUAGUAGUACCAUUUUGGGAAAGUGAUAAGGCUGUAAAUGUUUUCUUAUUAGGAUGAUCCUUUGGUUUCUUCUUAUUGCUGUACAAGCAAGCAGCGGCCGCGGAACAAGGCUUGGAUUGACGGAGCUGCGCGGGCUAGGGGCGCAGCAGAGCGCACGCGGAGAAGGGCGUGCCACGGUGGUGGCGGAGAAGGGCAUGCUGCAGCGCGGCGGCGGAGAAGGACGCUCGGUGGCAACGCAGGUGCGCGAUGGAGUGCGGCAGCAAGAAGGGCGCUCGGUAGCAGAGCAGGGCGCGAGGGAGGCGGCGACGAAGCAGAGUGUGACGGCAACAGGGCAGGGCGCGUGAUGGCAGGAGCAGCGGAGCAGGAUCCCACAGCCUGACCCGAAGGAGAUGGCCGAUGGCGACGCAAAAUAGGAUUUGAUUAUCGGCGACCCAGAGAAUGCUGGGUGGCUUCGAUGUCUUUUGUUGUGUUGUGUUGUUUGUUUUGUUUCUUGUGUCGAAUGCGUGCGAGCCCGUGGCUCUCUUUCGUCUCCUGCGUGUCGAUCCAUGUCUUUGUUCUCUGAUGUGUUUUUGCUCAUGUUUGGGCAUCAAGACAAGUAUUUUGUUGAACCUUGUUGUCGUGUUGUAUCAAGAGUAUUUGACAUAUGCCAACAAUUGUAUUUCGAUUUA